AUUUUAACUCUAUGCCAUGGCCCAUGAGAACACAACUGUCGCACGAAAAGGAGGACGCAAACAUCAGCGAAGCGAGGCUAGCUAGAAGCUUGCAUGGGGCGUGGAUCCUUGGACACUUAAGAAAAAAAAAAAGCCUGCAUGGAGCAACUUGAAUCUCCGUAUCUGCUGCCUUCAAGCUGUCAAUUGCUAGCCACGUCUUUUUGAAAUAAUAAAAAGACAGCUAUGCCCUUUCUAUAA